rnacentral:rRNA from 1 species
UUGGCGGACGGGUGAGUAACGCGUGGGUAACCUGCCUUGCACUGGGGGAUAACACUUAGAAAUAGGUGCUAAUACCGCAUAAGCGCACGGUCCUGCAUGGGACAGUGUGAAAAACUCCGGUGGUGCAAGAUGGACCCGCGUCUGAUUAGCUGGUUGGCGGGGUAAAGGCCCACCAAGGCGACGAUCAGUAGCCGGCCUGAGAGGGUGGACGGCCACAUUGGGACUGAGACACGGCCCAAACUCCUACGGGAGGCAGCAG